GAAUUAAGCAUAUCAAUAAGCGGAGGAAAAGAAACCAACAGGGAUUGCCUCAGUAACGGCGAGUGAAGCGGCAAGAGCUCAAAUUCGAAAUCUGGCUCCUCUGGUGUCCGAGUUGUAAUUUGAAGAGGCAUCUUCAGGAGGGGCCCGGCCAAUGUUCCUUGGAACAGGACGUCACGGAGGGUGAGAAUCCCGUUCAUGGCCGGACGCCUACCCCGAUAUGUGGUGCCCUCUACGAGUCGAGUUGUUUGGGAAUGCAGCUCAAAAUGGGUGGUAAAUUUCAUCUAAAGCUAAAUAUUGGCGAGAGACCGAUAGCGCACAAGUAGAGUGAUCGAAAGAUGAAAAGCACUUUGAAAAUAGAGUCAAACAGUACGUGAAAUUGUUGAAAGGGAAGCGCUUGAGACCAGACUUGGCCCUCGACAAACAACCAUCCUUCUGGGUGGUGCACUUGUCGCUGGCUGGGCCAGCAUCGGUCGGGACGGUGGGAUAAAGGCCUGGGGAAUGUGACUCCUCGUCGGAGUGUUAAGAGCCCCUGGUGCCAUGCUGCCUGGCCCGACCGUGGACCGCGCUUCGGCUAGGAUGCUGGCUUAAUGGUCUCCAGCGGCCCGUCUU
rnacentral:rRNA from 1 species